CAUAGCGACUAUCGUGGCAUAUCAAUAAGCGGAGGAAAAGAAACUAACUAGGAUUCCCUUAGUAACGGCGAGUGAAGCGGGAAGAGCUCAAAUUUGAAAUCUUCAAGGUUCUACCUUGACGAAUUGUAGUUUAAUAGAAGUGUUUUCUGUUAGUAGAGUUGGCUAAAAGUUCUUUGGAAUAGGACAUCAUAGAGGGUGAGAAUCCCGUAUUUGGUCAUUCUUUCUAACUUUGUGAUACACUUUCAACGAGUCGGAUUGUUUGGGAAUGCAGUCCAAAAUGGGUGGUAAAUUUCAUCUAAAGCUAAAUAUUGGCGAGAGACCGAUAGCGAACAAGUACCGUGAGGGAAAGAUGAAAAGAACUUUGAAAAGAGAGUUAAACAGUACGUGAAAUUGUCAAAAGGGAAGCGUUUGACACCAGUGUUGUUUAGUUGAAAAUCAAUUCAAUAAUUUGGGGAUUUUGAGUAGUAUUGACUUCAUCAGCUUUCUGCACUUUCUUUUCCUGUAUUAUUUAAUGCACUUUUCAGUUAACAAGUCAACAUCAAUUUCUUUUGUUGUAAAAGAGGUAAUAGGAAGGUGGCUUACUCUUCGGCGUAAAGUGUUUAUAGCCUUUGACCUCUGCAAUCGGAGAGAUUGAGGACAGCAGCGUAGACUCUUCGGGGUUAGAUACACUUGUGCUAAGCUAUAGCCUUGUAUAGACAACUUGUUGACUAUGCUCAGUCAUGUAGCUUACUCGCUAUGUGCUAUUUUACCUACGCUUAGGAUGUUGACGAGACUGUCGAUCUC
rnacentral:rRNA from 1 species